AGUGAACGCUGGCGGUAGGCCUAACACAUGCAAGUCGAACGGCAGCACAGUAAGAGCUUGCUCUUACGGGUGGCGAGUGGAGGACGGGUGAGGAAUACAUCGGAAUCUACUUUUUCAUGGGGGAUAACGUAGGGAAACUUACGCUAAUACCGCAUACGACCUACGGGUGAAAGCAGGGGAUCUUCGGACCUUGCGCGAUUGAAUGAGCCGAUGUCGGAUUAGCUAGUUGGCGGGGUAAAGGCCCACCAAGGCGACGAUCCGUAGCUGGUCUGAGAGGAUGACCAGCCACACUGGAACUGAGACACGGUCCAGACUCCUACGGGAGGCAGCAGUGGGGAAUAUUGGACAAUGGGCGCAAGCCUGAUCCAGCCAUACCGCGUGGGUGAAGAAGGCCUUCGGGUUGUAAAGCCCUUUUGUUGGGAAAGAAAAGCAGCAGGUUAAUACCCCGCUGUUCUGACGGUACCCAAAGAAUAAGCACCGGCUAACUUCGUG
rnacentral:rRNA from 1 species